CCUACGGGAGGCAGCAGUGAGGAAUAUUGGUCAAUGGGCGAGAGCCUGAACCAGCCAAGUCGCGUGAGGGAGUACUGCCCUAUGGGUUGUAAACCUCUUUUGUCGGGGAGCAAAAGCCGGACGUGUCCGGCUGUGAGAGUACCCGAAGAAAAAGCAUCGGCUAACUCCGGGCCAGCAGCCGCGGUAAUACGGGGGAUGCGAGCGUUAUCCGGAUUUAUUGGGUUUAAAGGGUGCGCAAGCGGGUUUUUAAGUCAGCGGUAAAAUCGUGGGGCUCAACCCCAUCCAGCCGUUGAAACUGGGGAUCUAGAGUGUGCGAGAGGUAUGCGGAAUGCGUGGUGUAGCGGUGAAAUGCAUAGAUAUCACGCAGAACCCCGAUUGCGAAGGCAGCAUACCGGUGCACAACUGACGCUCAGGCACGAAAGCGUGGGUAUCGAACAGGAUUAGAUACCCUUGUAGUC
rnacentral:rRNA from 1 species